rnacentral:lncRNA from 1 species
UUAUGGGAGCUACAAUUCACGAUGAGAUUUGGGUGGGGACACAGCCAAACCAUAUCAAAUCCUUAGUAACACGAGCAUUUUAUGAUGUUAUAAAAUCACUCUUCUUCUUUGUUUUUGUUGUUUCAUGAGUGAUGGAUAACUUCAGAAGAUUGUGUUGGCAGUUAGCAAGGUUUGAAAGAGGUGUGUUCAAAAUUUGAUAGAUUUUUGACUAUUUAAAAAUAAUUGUUGAGGAGGAGCAGUUCUCAUGUGGCCUUCAUGCAGAGGGAACUUAGAAGUGUAAGCCUCCUGACUUCUGUCUGUCCCUUCACCCACUCUGCCUCAAAGCGGCUAGACUGAUUUUCGGAUUGGUCUAUUUGAAAUGGAUAUGAUUGAGUUUAAUACCUCUAUCCCUCUUCCUUUGGGAGUGAGCUGUCUACAUGAUAAUCCUUUCUCCACCACUCCGUGGGGUCAGCCUUCUCCCCAUCUGCAGGAGGCAGCUCUCACUGAGUACCACCUACCACCACUGAGUUCAGUGGACAAUGAGGACACCCAACCGCCUCGUUCUGAGUUGUGUCUUCCAACUUCAUCUUUAGUAACUCAUCUCUUAUCUCUUCACCUCCCUGUCUUACUUUUCUAAAUGUUCAUCACUCUAACUGGGAAGUGAGAUACUGUGUAUUAGGCCCCCAGCCCUCACAAACUCCAGCAAUGAACACUAAGCUACACAAGGUGGAUACAAAUAACUAUUGAUUGUUUUGCGAGGUGAGUAGUUUGUAUUAGGUAGAAGAAGAAAGGGUAGGUGAAUCUUCUUUCCUUCAAGGAACAUGUAAUGACACAUAAACGGUUAGAAACAAUAAGAGAGGGAUUAUAGGCCUUAAAUGAGUGGAGCAGACAGAACUAAGGAAAAUUAGAGGAGAAAGAUAUUGGUUGGAAAGCCUAAUAGGGAGUUAAAGUUUCAGCUGAGCUUUAAGGGAAGGUUGGUACAUGCAUUCCAAAAAGUGCAGAGUGUUCUAUUAAUGGAAAAGUAAGCACAUCAAGCUGGUUCUAUUGCAAAUAUAUAUUUAAAAUUACAUCCUGUAAGUAACUGAAACCUCUAUCAUUACAUUAAAAAAUGUAAAACCUUCUGGAGCAGCCGAGUACAUGGCAGCAGCUGCAACAUCAGCAUGUUCCGUCUCACUCUUUGCACAGACAGCACAACUGCUAGUGAUGUUCACAAUAGACUUGGGAGAAAUUUUGACACGGAAUAACUGUGAUAUUUAAGGAAGAAAAAAAACGCUGAAAGUUGAUGCAAAAACUGAAGUCUCUCCCAUGUAAUUACAAUGAACAUGCUAAACAAAGAUGGAAUUAACCCUGAGAACUUAAAGCCAACAAGAGGAGUUGGCUGCACCUGCAUCAGAACAAAAUGUGGUUGGUCCCUGACCUGGCAUAAGACAGGAAAGUCACCUGUGUAGUAGAAUUGUGGGCACAAGCACACACUUCAUUCAGGCGAAGGCUCAGUGAGAGACCUUAUGUCCUGUCCUGCCCUGAGAGAUGGAGGCUUUUAGAUAAGCAGAGGAAAGGGGGUAAGACACCCAGCACAUGGAGGGAAAACAAAAGUCUCAAGCAGGAAAGUAUAGAAGAUACUUAGAGAAGACAGGGCAGGAGUGCAGAGAUUUUGAUGUCUAUAAACCUUGGUUGACCUUGAAGAUUUAUCUUUUAAUGCCAUUAUCUCAUGUUAAUUAAUAAUGGCAACUUAACUUUUUGUCUUCAUGGCAUUGUGACAACACUGCCUUUCAGCAGCCAUAGUGAUGUUACUGAUCUGCUUUUGCCUGGUUUUCUAUGAGUAAACUGUGUGCUGAGCCAGCCACGUGCUGUGACUCAGGCCUUCUUAUGACCAGUACCACCAGGCACUCACACUGCUGUUGGCCAAGAGCUGCCUGUGGCCAUACAGCAGAGACAAAUUAAUACUAACACCAUCCUUACGUUUGGGAGACAGGCUAACAGUUUACAGGCUCCAGAGCACUUUCACAUCCCUUCACAUUUAAUCCUUGGAUCACAUCUGGUGUUAUUCAGGCACAACUGGAAGGCCACGUGCUGGUGGACCACAUCUGGAAUAGCCUAUGUUGAGAGACACAUCUGGCACUCUUCCCCCAUCACCUUCCUUCUUUUCUCUUCAGAGAACUUGGGACACGGAGUCAAGACACCUUGCUUUCAAGCCCAGGUCUUCUAUUAACUGACCAUGGGCUUGUAGGCAAAGUCACACCACUUCUCUGGGUAUAAUUGCAUACUGGGUGAUUUCUAAAGCCUCUUCCUGCUCCAAGAUACUAUUAUGCUGUGACAAACUGGAGAAGUAGACAGUGACGAUAUUGAUAGGGAACCUCCUUAAAAAUGGAGACCCUGUUAUUCAGAGAAUUUAAUGGCUUCUAAUCCAGGAUUACACAGAUGGUAAGCAGUAACAUCUCUGGUUGUUUCAUUUAGUGUUUUUUCCACUACAUUGCACACAUGUGCGUGAGCACAAUGUGGAUUAACCUUGACCCGCUUAGCUCUAGCUCAGAUAACCAGAUGCAGAUGGAGGAAUCCAUGCUUUCAGCGAAAUUACAUUAAUUACUUGGACGGUAUGUGGCUAAAUAAGAUUCCACAAACUGACAGCCUGCAGACAGGAUUUGUCCUGAAGCCCUGUUUUGUUUGGCCCCUAGCGUGUUUUAUUUAAAAAAUUGACAUGUUGCUAUACUUUAAAUUUGGGAUAUUUACAUAAAAAUCCAAAAUUUCAAGUUCUCUUAAAAAGCCAAAAGAUUUAUGAUUGGCUGAAAUGGGCUCAUCAUUAUAUUGUCCCUUCAGUUAGUGUUUUCAAACUUCCAUACUGUUGACAUUUUGGGCUGGAUAAUUCUUUGUUGUGGAGAGGCUGUCCUGUGGAUUUUGGGAUGUCUAGCAGUAUCCCUAGCCUGUGCUCAGCAGAUGCCAGUAGCACCUUCUCCUCUGUUGUGACAAUCAGUGUGACAUUUCCAAAUGUCCUUUGGCUGGGGGGCACAAAAUUCCCUUAUGUUGAGAAUGAUUGUUGUAGGCAUUUGAAUAGGAAUCCUUGGAAAACAGAAGAGCUGGAGAAGAUGUAGUCCAAUGCUCUCAGUUUACAGAGAAGGAAACUGAAGCCCAACCGGAGAGGUUAAGUAACUUGCCCACGGUGACACAAUUGGAACAAUGGUGACAGACCUAGGACUGGAACCCAGGUCCUCUGACACCUUGUGCAGUGCAUUUUUCACCUAGAUCUGCUUCCAAAGCCCUCACCUGCCAACUGUGUGAGAUGACGGGUACAUUAAUUUGCUAAUUUCCCACCCACUUUAAUUGCUGAUCAGGAAGGCCUGACGGCUGCUUUCACUUCCUUGCAAGUGUGUCCAGAGGCAAGCAGAGCAGCUCCCCAUUCCAAGGGAGCAUUUCCUGGAUAUAGGCGGCCCAUAUUGUUUCACUCAGAUUGGAAGGGGUGUUGCAUAAACAUUUGCCUUAUUCUCUGAUCCAGUCAUUUAAAUAAGAUUUUUCUCAUUCCCAGCCAAUUCAGAUCAUCAGUCUCUUUUGCAUUCUUGAAUCAACAUUUCCUCCAAAGCCGCUAAGAAAGUGUACAGCCAGAAACAAAUGUUUGUGUGAAGUCAUUUGUCACUCUGCAAAUUCCUUAGGAAUGUGGUUAUACAACAAACAGUUGGAUGUUAUCAUUUAUAUGCCUAGAAUUUGUUUCAUUAUCUGAAAGCUCAUCCUUUUUGAUAAAAAAAAUUUUAGAAGUAUAUUAAUGAUUUAUCACAGGAAGUAUUUACUUUUCACAAUAAUAAAUUCCUCUGAUGUGAGAAAGUACCUACCAGGCUCACUGGACCAGAAGCCCUGAGUGCUUAGGCUUCAGUUUUGGCUCUGUCACUAUCCAAACUGAUGGCCUAAACAGGGCCAUAUCUUUCUCAACAGUGUUUUCUGAGCUACCACUGAGAUCCCUUGACACUCUCAUAUUGUAUGAGUCAUAUUCCUGUUUCAUCUAUUAUAGUCCCUGUGAGCUUUCUCCUAUAAUUGAGUCUUGUUCUACCUGGUUUGACUACUGCAUUUUUGAUAGAGAAAGCCCAGGAAACACCUAUUGUAAAAUGUUAUUCAUUUACCCACUUACAGUGGGACCAGCCCACAGGUUAAUUUGAAAUUUUUCUAGUUGUCAGUGAAAUAUCUUAGUUAGAAAGUAACUUUGCCAGACAGUAAUUUUAAACUCUGCUUUGUGGGUACAAUAGUCCCCUCUUAUCCAAGAGGGAUAUGGUCCAACACUGCUAGUGGGUGCCUGAAAUCAUGGAUUGUAGGAACCCAAUCAAACACAGUUCUGUUCACAUCCACCCACAAAUUUAAUACCUUUUCCAUCCUAACUAAGCGCUUGUCAUGCACUGUGGCCAUAAUUUUGCAGUUUAAAGGGCAACAGCAAAACUAGCACACAUUUUUUUUUUCCUCUCCACAAUUUAACAGAUAGGUCUGUUUUUACUGUAGGUUUUAGCAACUUCAGCAUACAAUUCUUUUUUUCUUAUUAAGUUGAGAACCUCCUCCUUUUCAUGUAAAGAAGACUAUGGUUUCUUUUUGGUAUAUCCAAAUUGCCUUGCAUCACUACUCUUGUGGUUAGGACCUUUAUGAAGUAACAUAAGGGUCCCUUGAACACAAGCACUCUGCUAUCAUGACAACAGAUCUGUUAACCAAGAAAUCUACUAAGUAAAUCACAGGCAGGGAGGGUAGAUAGCAUGAAGACGCUGGACAAAGAGAGGAUUAACCUCCUGGGGAUACUGAGGGGCUACUUGUGAGAUGGCAAAAAAGAGAUAUGGCAACCAGAAUUUCCCUCAGUCGCCCCUGACAAGUUCUCCUACAUCUUCACACAAAGUAAGAGGGCCGCCACUUCACGGUGAUCUCAGCACUCCUAAUGCCAUUUGGAAAAUUCUGGACUUGGAUUAAGCACUACUCAGGCAGGACAGUUCACAGAUAUCUGUGAGCCAUGACUUAAGGCCCAUCAUCUCUGAAGCUAUUUCCAAGUUAGUUAGCAUCAUAUGGACAAACAGAGGGAGAGGCAGAAAGAGAAAUUUCUUUUCCUGCAACGUAUGUGUUAUGUUAACAAUAGGAUACAAUGAAGUUAGGGAAUCAUGUAUGAAUGUAAAUGCCCCUGCAUCCCCACCGUGUUCAGUACUUUAUGUAUUACCUUUGUCUUUUCCAUGAUAUGCUUCUUACACAUUCCCCCACUCUUUCCAUGGUUAUCUGUCAAUUGUCAAAUGCUGUUUACCUAGAGCAUCGGGGUUCUCAUUUGCUAGACUUUUUUUUUUUUGCAGUUUAUUAUUCUUUACCUCUGUUUACUAAACUCCAGCAUCUCACCUACAUUAUGUAACUUUUUAUCAAAGUUAAGUGAAAUGUAGAUCUUGAAUUUUCUCUUUCUUCAAUAAUUCUUUAUUGCUUGUGAAAUAUAUUCCUAUAAUAUUGUAUAUGUGACCAGGGGACCAGAUGGGACAGGAGAAGGAAAAUGGUUUUUAAGUGAUGCAAGGCGAUGCUUAUUGUCUGUCAAGUCAGGACUAUGAGGCCUCACAACGUGGAAGCAAGGCAGGCACAUUUCUUCACCUCUGAACAUUCUUGACCGGCUACUGUAUGCCACAGCCUAGGGAUAAAAACUUGAGGAAGGGUCUACCUCUGCCUCUGGAAGCUUAUAAUCUGUGGUAUAGCCAAGUAACAAAGGAUUUCAGAACAGUGUGCUGGGUGCUGCCAUGGGGAUAGCCACAGGGUGCUGGGGGAACAGGCAAUAGUGAUACCCAACUUGGUCUCGGGAGAAUCAGGGAAGGUUUUCUGCAUGGGAGGGUGGUGUUCAAGUGAUACCUGAGUAGAGGCUGUCCAUGCAAAAAAGUGGAAAAUAUCAUGGCAAGCUUCCAGAGAUGAGAAAGUUUGGGAUCACCGACUAGUUCCAUGCAUCUGGAGCAUAGAGUGGAAGUAGCUGAGUACUGAAAUCCAAAGACGGGGAUGAAAGCAGAGACUGGAUUAAAAAUCCCUGAGAGCCAAGAUAUCAAGUAGGUAAGGGGCAGAGGUCAAAAUAAAUGGAUCCAGCCAGUCUGAGGAAGAUUCACCUACACCAAUGCUGCAGUCUGAAGCUGGAUAAGAAGAAGGGAAGGAAAUAAACAUUUUUGAGUGUGUACCAUAUACCAGACCCUGUGCAUCACCUAAUCAAAUUAUCACACAAAGCUUUUAGGGGGUAUAAUUGUCACCAUUUCAUGGCUGAAAAACAUGGCCUCAAAAGAUAGCAUGAUGGGUAUCACACAGCUUUUGAGUAGUAGGUCUGGGAUUCAAAUUCAGGUCUAAUUCCAAAGCCUGUGUUCUUUCUGACCAUAGCAAUGACUCCAGAGCAACAGGCCAGCGAAGAGAGGGCAGGCUUUAAUGAAUGAGAUAGAAGCUACAGUGAGUCAGACUUGGGCUUCAGGUAACCACAUGGAGGCAGGGUAACAGCUGGCACAAGACUUCCAGGAAAUGGGCAAUGUUUGGAAAGAUAUGUUGACAAACUGCCCAGGCUGUGGGGCAUGAGGUCCAAAGGUCAAAGUUUAGAAGAAUAAAAAGCAAAAUCAAAUUUCUAUGUAGAAGAAGCUAACUAGAAGUUGAUAUAGAAGCAUGAAACUAGACAGAAGAGGGAGGAGUUAGAAGAAGAGACAGGGCCAAGUGCCAUGCUGAGAGGCCGAAGCUACAGAAAAAGUGUCCAAGGAGAGAGGCUCCUGGUGAUGGGGUGGCUGAAAGACUUUAAAGAAUAGAAGUGUCUGAUAUGUAAUCAUAGGUUGUUUGGUUGAUGUCCUGUAAACUCCAACAAUUGCCCCAAUUCUCCUGUUAAAAUCCAUCCCACACAUCACAUAGCCUUGUGUUUGAGACAGGCUCCCGUAGAAUGUCCAAACAGGAAGACGGGGAAUGUUCAGUGUGGAGUGACAGGGUACACAGAACAGAGAGCAGGCACAGAAAAGAGAGGGAGCCCGUACAUGGAGUGAUUAGGCCUCAGCCAGAGGUAGCCAGGAACAUUAUAAACAACUUGCCCACAUGUCAAAGAUUAGCAGAGAGUUUGAGAGAGUUGUUAAAUGGCUCACCACAUAAGGAAGGAGAAUGCAAAACAAUUUCAUUUGAAUCCUGAAAGGGCAAGCUGAACUUAGCUGAUGUGUGGCUUAUGAAAAGAAGAUAUUGCUAAUAGAGCUGAUCAAGGAUUAAGUAGGCAACCUUGGACAGCAGUUAAUUUUCCACCCCUGGGAAUGUGUAGGCAAAGAGGACACAGACCCAGACAUGGCAGUGGUAGGACAGAUUCAGGUGUCAGAUGGGGACAGACUGCAUAACCCAUUGAACUCCCUCCCAACCCUGAGAGUCCAGCCUAGGAAAGCAAGUUUAAGGCUCCCAAAUGAAUUAAGUAUCCAAGCAAAUCGGACUUGCAUUUGGGAAUGCACGUUUGACAAAACUCAGAAUGAAUGAGUCAAUAGGAAAUCCACCCAAACAGGUUAAAAUUAAAACUGAACCAUUAACAUCCAAGAGAAGGAUAAAGCUGCCUUGCUAGUCGACUUUCUGAUUCAAUCCAAGAUUUCUCAUGUGUUUCCUGCUCCUCUUAAUGAGUCACUUGGUUUAGACAGUCUAGGAUUUGCUUUCAGAGCAGGUGGAUAAACUUACCUGUCCCAAUGGAGAUUUAGGUUUCAACACCUGCUGAAGAUGCAUCUAACCUGUUGAAGAUUUUCUUGCAUUUUUAGAUUCAUGCCCGGACCUAGCCAUCCUUUCUCCCAGUUCAGUAGUGAUAUCCACCAGGCUGGAGGUGUGUUGAAGGAAUGAAAGUGCACCAGCUUCAAGAGAAAAGGAAACAAACAAAAGUAGAGCAAGAAAGAUUGAGAACAGCAAUGUAGGCAGAAAGCUGGUAACAAUGAGCUCUCUUCUCUCCAUGACCUGGCCAGAAAGAAACAAGCAAAUGCUGUUACAACCCCUUAGACUGUGUGCAAGGACAGGGUACACACCAAUUGCUAAAGCACAUGUUAAAAGGUUAAAAUUUUAAACGAUUUCCUAGAUUUUCUCUUAUACUGUGCUCAGAACAAUAUGUGCAAUUUAGAGGAAAAAAAAAACCUAAGUAAAUAUGAUAUUCUGCUAAUGCUCUUUUAUGUGUCAGCCAGGAAUGAAGAUAGCUUAGGUACAUGAAAUUCAUAGACAAACCAUACGUUUUAAAAAAGCAGACUUUAUUGGUUGGAAUUUCAGCAUGAAAGGUAUUUCUGCACCCACCCAUGGUAGGGCAACAGUCAGAAUAGUUAGAAGUCACGAAGGAGGAGGAGGCAGGAAGAACCUACAGCAACCACAGACUAGAUCGUCCGCCCUAAGAAAUUGACUGUAGACCUCAAAUAGUUGCUGAUAUUUGAAAUAAGAAUAAAAUUUCCCAUAUGCAACCAGUCUAGGGAGGCAUUCUUGGUGACAUUUUCAAAUUGUCCCAUCUGCCACAAUCCUCCACUCAGCAGGACUGAACACAUCUCCAGGGGUCAAACCCACAUGGAUUAGAUUUGAAAGACCACGAAGUUCAGUUCUUUCUUCAGAAUGUCCUCCCUUUGUGGAAACUAGAAGUAAAUUAACAACCCCACCUAGUAAUUCCAAAAGAUAGAAUCACAUUUAAGCUACCCCUUGGCUUUAGAAAUGUUUUUCUUCCAAGAAACUACUUUUGAAAUAAGUAAAAAAUGUUAAAGCUGACCACUCAUCUUUUCAUUUUAAGAAGUACUUUUGAAUCCUUCCUCCAGGCCACCAUGCUAGACAUGGAAGAUACAAAGAUCUAUUGAUGCCUUUGAAUAGCCUAGAGUCUCUUGUUCGUAUGAACAAGAUUAAGAUCCAAUAAAUUAAUCACAAAGUGCAGAUGUGCACCCUGAGCCUAAAUCUGCCCCCCAGGUAUUGGGAAAGGCCUCACAGCAAAGGUGGAGACUGAGCCGAGCAGCUGAUGGUGAGUGGGAGUUUAUCAGAUGACAGACAGGUGAAUUGCAUUUCAGAAGGAGGGAAUAGUAUGUUGCAAAGGUACCAAAGAGGGAAAGAGUAUGACAGUGGCUUGAGGAGAGUAAGUGGCACCAGGGUCAAGGGAGUGUGUUGCAUGCUCUAGUCAUGCAAGUGUUUUCCUGGAAAAAGAACAAAUGCACUGUGGUAAAAUUCAAGUGCAUUCCUAUACUUAAAAUUCAACAGAUCUAAAGAUAGUAAUUCAGAGCAAAAGGAAAUUAAAAUAUUUGAGCAGUUUCUUUGUGACACCUGAAAACAAGUGCCAGGGGAUUUAUGAGUUAUUAUCUCUAGAAUAGGUCGCUUCAUGGGCCUGUAGCCUGCCAUCACUCAGGGACCCAUGCUGAGAAGCCUCUGCUCUUGGGCAAAUGCUCUGCCCUUGCUGUCUUAAAAUUCUUUAGUACAUUUUGAACAAUGAGCCUUGGCUUUUCAUAUUCCAUUUGUCCCCAGAAAUUAUGCAGCUGAGCCUGAGAACAGAACAUUUUCAGAUAACUUGAAAUAGCUCAGUAUUGUAUUUAAAGUGGAAAGAGGGAGAAGUGGUAGAUGAGGUUGAACAUGUAGGCAGUGGCAUAUAUUGAAAGGCCUGGGAGUCUCGCUAAAAAUUUAAAAUGUACCUGUAGGAUAUAGAAGGUCAUUGAAGAAUUUGAGCAAGAAGUAGCAUGAAGAGAUGUGCUGUUUAGAUCACUCUGGUGUAAUGAGUCGAUAGAGUGGAAAUAUAACAAAAAGUUUCCCAUUUAAAAUAAAUGCACUUUCCUUGUUUGAAUUUCGUUUCUUGGGAAUAAAGUUUUGAUCCGUCUUAAAA